rnacentral:miRNA from 1 species
GCAGACACAUACCAGCCAAUCGGCAGCAGACCCUCCCUCCCAGACCCUCCCACCUCCUGGACAGCAUCCAUUUUGAAGCUGCUUUCUUAGUGAGCUGUCCAGGAGGUGGGAGGGUCUGGGAGGGAGGGUCUGCUGCUGAUUGGCUGGAAUGUGUCUG